rnacentral:rRNA from 1 species
GGAGGCAAACGUUGCUCGGAUUUACUGGGCGUAAAGGGUGAGUAGGCGGACUUAUAAGUCUAAGGUGAAAGACCGAAGCUCAACUUCGGAAACGCCUCGGAUACUGUAAGUCUUGGAUAUUGUAGGGGAUGAUGGAAUUCUCGGUGUAGCGGUGGAAUGCGCAGAUAUCGAGAGGAACACCUAUAGCGAAGGCAGUCAUCUGGGCAUUUAUCGACGCUGAAUCACGAAAGCUAGGGGAGCAAACAGGCUUAGAUACCCUGGUAGUCCUAGCCGUAAACGUUGUACACUAGGUGCUUCUAUUUAAAUAGGAGUGCCGUAGCUAACGUCUUAAGUGUACCGCCUGAGGAGUAUGCCCGCAAGGGUGAAACUCAAAGAAAUUGACGGGUCCCCGCACAAGUGGUGGAGCAUGUGGUUUAAUUCGAUGAUACGCGAAAAACCUUACCUGGGUUUGAAUUGUAAGAUGAAUGAUUUAGAGAUAAGUCAGACCGCAAGGACGUUUUACAUAGGUGCUGCAUGGCUGUCGUCAGCUCGUGUCGUGAGAUGUUGGGUUAAGUCCCGCAACGAGCGCAACCCUCACCCUUUGUUGCUACCGAGUAAUGUCGGGCACUCUUAGGGGACUGCCUACGUUCAAGUAGGAGGAAGGUGGGGAUGAUGUCAAGUCCUCAUGGCCCUUAUGUCCAGGGCUACACACGUGCUACAAUGGCAAGUACAAAGAGAAGCAAGACCGCGAGGUGGAGCAAAACUCAAAAAAGUUGCCUCAGUUCGGAUUGGAGUCUGAAACUCGAC